GACAAAUUCAACUUGUUAUUCAUAGUUUGAUAGAUAUUCAACUUGUUGCUGAAAUGUUCAUCUAAUGGCAGAGGAAACACUUCAGAGACAAAUUCAACUUGUUAUUCAUAGUUUGAUAGAUAUUCAACUUGUUGCUGAAAUGUUCAUCUAAUGGCAGAGGAAACACUUCAGAGACAAAUUCAACUUGUUAUUCAUAGUUUGAUAGAUAUUCAACUUGUUGCUGAAAUGUUCAUCUAAUGGCAGAGGAAACACUUCAGAGACAAAUUCAACUUGUUAUUCAUAGUUUGAUAGAUAUUCAACUUGUUGCUGAAAUGUUCAUCUAAUGGCAGAGGAAACACUUCAGAGACAAAUUCAACUUGUUAUUCAUAGUUUGAUAGAUAUUCAACUUGUUGCUGAAAUGUUCAUCUAAUGGCAGAGGAAACACUUCAGAGACAAAUUCAACUUGUUAUUCAUAGUUUGAUAGAUAUUCAACUUGUUGCUGAAAUGUUCAUCUAAUGGCAGAGGAAACACUUCAGAGACAAAUUCAACUUGUUAUUCAUAGUUUGAGAGAGGCUCUAGAUGGCUCUGACGGGUUCCAGAAUACCCAUCAAAUGCAACAAUUUCAAUCUGCAUAAUUUAUAGAUCAGGUUGUAUUCAUUCUAGAGUCGCAAAGGACAUACUUCUUUUGGAUGAUAUGGCAGCAGAGGAAACAUUAUAGGUGUCCAUUGCCGCAGGUCAACUGUGAGUUUGAUUCUUGUUAGAUGGUGUCUACUGCCAGUGCUAUCAUGAGGUUUUUGCAUAGGUUGCGUUGUAGGUUUGUCAGCACUAUUAUGAGUGAAUGAGUUGGAGGCUGUGUAAAAGUAAAUUGUUAGAUUUGGCAGCACUAUUAUGUGUUUCUUUAAUACUCUAUAGAGUUUGCAUUUGGAAUUUGAUUAUGAUUGGUAUAGUUUUCAAUGAAAUGGUUCUUUCU